rnacentral:rRNA from 1 species
GACGAACGCUGGCGGCGUGCCUAAUACAUGCAAGUCGAGCGGACAGAAGGGAGCUUGCUCCCGGACGUUAGCGGCGGACGGGUGAGUAACACGUGGGCAACCUGCCCCUUAGAUUGGGAUAACUCCGGGAAACCGGAGCUAAUACCGGAUAAUCCCUUUUUCCACCUGGAGAGAGGGUGAAAGAUGGCUUCGGCUAUCACUAGGGGAUGGGCCCGCGGCGCAUUAGCUAGUUGGUAGGGUAAUGGCCUACCAAGGCGACGACGGGUAGCCGGCUUGAGAGAGCGAUCGGCCACAAGGGGACUGAGACACGGCCCCUACUCCUACGGGAGGCUG